AGUGAACGCUGGCGGUAGGCCUAACACAUGCAAGUCGAACGGCAGCACAGGAGAGCUUGCUCUCUGGGUGGCGAGUGGCGGACGGGUGAGGAAUACAUCGGAAUCUACUUUUUCGUGGGGGAUAACGUAGGGAAACUUACGCUAAUACCGCAUACGACCUACGGGUGAAAGCAGGGGAUCUUCGGACCUUUCUCGAUUGAAGGAGCCGAUGUCGGAUUAGCUAGUUGGCGGGGUAAAGGUCCACCAAGGCGACGAUCCGUAGCUGGUCUGAGAGGAUGAUCAGCCACACUGGAGCUGAGACACGGUCCAGACUCCUACGGGAGGCAGCAGUGGGGAAUAUUGGACAAUGUGCGCAAGCCUGAUCCAGCCAUACCGCGUGGGUGAAGAAGGCCUUCGGGUUGUAAAGCCCUUUGGUUGGGAAAGAAAUCCAGCUGGUUAAUACCCGGUUGGGAUGACGGUACCCAAAGAAUAAGCACCGGCUAACUUCGUGCCAGCCGCCGCCGUAA
rnacentral:rRNA from 1 species